rnacentral:rRNA from 1 species
GAUGAACGCUAGCGGCAGGCCUAACACAUGCAAGUCGAGGGGUAGCAGGAUUAAGCUUGCUUAAUUGCUGACGACCGGCGCACGGGUGCGUAACGCGUAUGCAACCUACCUUAUACUGGGGUAUAGCCCGGAGAAAUUCGGAUUAAUCCCCCAUAGUACUAAUGAAUCGCAUGGUUUAUUAGUUAAAGCAUUGCGGUAUAAGAUGGGCAUGCGUCCUAUUAGCUAGAUGGUGAGGUAACGGCUCACCAUGGCCACGAUAGGUAGGGGGCCUGAGAGGGUUGGCCGCCACACUGGUACUGAGAGACGGACCAGACUCCUACGGGAGGCAGCAGUGAGGAAUAUUGGUCAAUGGGCGCAAGCCUGAACCAGCCAUGCCGCGUGCAGGAAGAAUGCCCUAUGGGUUGUAAACUGCUUUUAUUUGGGAAUAAACCUCUUUACGUGUAGAGAGCUGAAGGUACCAAAUGAAUAAGCACCAGCUAACUCCGUGCCAGCCGCCGCCGUAA